rnacentral:rRNA from 1 species
GUGCCAGCCGCCGCGGUAAUACAGAGGUCCCAAGCGUUGUUCGGAUUCAUUGGGCGUAAAGGGAGCGUAGGUGGUCGGGUAAGUCAGAUGUCAAAUUUCGGUGCUCAACGCCGAAUCGCAUUUGAUACUGCCUGGCUAGAGGAAUUGAGAGGAGGCCGGAAUUCACGGUGUAGCAGUGAAAUGCGUAGAUAUCGUGAGGAAGACCAACGGCGAAAGCAGGCCUCUGGAAAUUUCCUGACACUGAGGCUCGAAGGCCAGGGGAGCAAACGGGAUUAGAUACCCCGGUAGUCCUGGCAGUAAACGGUGCACGUUUGGUGUGGGAGGAUUCGACCCCUUCCGUGCUGAAGCUAACGCGUUAAACGUGCCGCCUGAGAAGUACGGUCGCAAGAUUAAA